CUUGAUUGAUCUUGCCAGUAGUCAUAUGCUUGUCUUAAAGACUAAGUCAUGCAUGUGUAAGUAUGAACUAAUUCAUACUGUGAAACUGCGAAUGGCUCAUUAAAUCAGUUAUAGUUUGUUUGAUGGUAUCUACUACUCAGAUAACCGUAGUAAUUCUAGAGCUAAUCCCGACUUUUGGAAGGGAUGCAUUUAUUAGAUAAACAGUCAACACGGGCUCUGCCCGUUGUAUUGAUGAUUCAUGAUAACUCGACGGAUAGCACAGCCUUUGUGCUGGCGACGCAACAUUCAAAUAUCUGCUCUAUCAACUUUCGAUGGUAGGAUAGUGGCCUACCAUGGUGGUGUCGGGUGACGGAGAAUUAGGGUUCGAUUCCAGAGAGGGAGCCUGAGAAACGACUAUCACAUCAAAGGAAGGCAGCAGAGGCGUAAAUUACCCAAUCCUAACACGGGGAGGUAGUGACAAUAAAUAACAAUACCGGGCUCUAUGAGUCUGGAAUUGGAAUGAGUACAAUCUAAAUCCCUUAACGAGGAUCCAUUGGAAGGCAAGUCUGGUGCUAGCAGCCGCGGUAAUUCCAGCUCCAAUAGCGUAUAUUUAAGUUGUUGUAGUUAAAAAGCUUGUAGUUGGACCUUUGGUUGGGUCGACCGGUCCGCCUUUAGGUGUGCACCGGUCGGCUCAUCCCUUCUACCGGCGAUACGCUCCUAGCUUUAAUUGGCCAGGUCGUGCCUCCGGUGCUGUUACUUUGAAGAAAUUAGAGUGCUCAAAGCAAGCUUACGCUCUGAAUACAUUAGCAUGAGAUAACAUCAUAUGAUUUCAGUCCUAUUCUGUUGGCCUUCAAGGUCGGAGUCAUGAUUAACAGGGACAGUCGGGGUCAUUUGUAUUUCAUAGUCAGAGGAUUGCAGUUUCUUGCCACUUUAACUAAUGAACAGUAUGAACUAUGCCGUAAUGGAUCAUCAAUUGUCACAUUAUGUGGUGAACAAAUUAUUAUGCUUUCCGGAGAGUAUGAUAACACCCUUUCUCUUUGUGAUCCGAUUUACUGAACUUUUGCUUUAGAGAUAACCUAAUGAUCUCUAAACUAGCGAGGUCAAACUUUUCCUUUUGGUCUUUAAUUCUACCUUUUGGUCUUUAAUUCAACAAAGCGGGCUGCAGCCUACAUGAGCUCAUCCAUUAAGAUUGUACAGUAUAAUUUUCUGUCAAAAUCUGGUGGAUAAUACAUACAAAGUAUCUGUAUGAGCAUUGAGCACUGCAUAUGACAUCUACUCUUUGCUAUUAGGAUACCAAAAACCGCAUUGCUAAUUUGCUAUAUAAACACCAUUCAGUGCUGAUAAAUAGUAAUUUGCUUCGCAGCUCGAAGAAAUUAACUUGCAGCACAAGGAUAAUUCGGCACAAACAAAAUAAUAAUCGAGCAGAUGAAAAUUCAUUAAAAUUAGAAUCUCCAUCACAUCAUUCAGAUGAACAAGUCUCCUAGCUUAGGCACAAGGUAAAUCAUCAAGUUUCACCGCAACAUUUAAUCAAAUUCUUCCCACCUCACAGCCAAGCACUGAGAUCACCACUAUUAUACAUUUAUACAUCACAUUCACACUACGUUUAUCACAAAAGCAAAAUCCAGUAAUCAAUUACUAAUGAGCUGCCAAUCCACGUCAUUCAAAAAUCCAAAGCAAGAAUCCAGUGAGA
rnacentral:rRNA from 1 species